rnacentral:lncRNA from 10 species
CUAUACUUUCCUGAUAUAAGGUCUGGAGAGGAGGGGAACAGGAUAAGCUCAUCCCAAAUGUCACCCAGGCUGGAGUAAAGUGGCAUGACCUUCCUGCAACCCCCACCUCCUGGGUUCAAGCGAUUCUCCUGCCUCAGCCUGCUGAGUAGCUAGGAUUGCAGGCAAGAGCCACCACGCCUGGCUAAUUUUUGUAAUUUUAGUAGAGAAAGGGUGUCUCCAUGUUGGCCAGGCUGAUCUUGAACUCCUGACCUCAAGUGAUCUGCCUGCCUUGGACUCCUAAAUUGCUGAGAUUACAGGCCUGAGACACAGUGCCUAGCUAAAACUUUUUUUUAAAGAGGAAAGAUAUGUUUCCCCAAAGGGAAGAAUAACUAAAUUGCUCUUUCAAUAACUCCAAAGCAUUUGAUAGAUAAUGGGAACAUAUUCUUAAACUGAUUCAGAAAAUAUAUCCACGUAAACUAUCAUUCAAGAAUGUUAGUAAUUCUUUUGAAAAAUAAAGCAUGAGGACAUGUGACUCAAACCUGUGCUAAAAGAUUUACUAAAAAAUUCAUAUGAAGAGAAAAAAAUAUCCAA